rnacentral:tRNA from 1 species
AUUUAUAUAAUUUAUUCAGAAUAUUGCAUUGAAGCUGCAAAAGAGACAGUAGAUGUCUGUAAAUA